AAUGUACAGGUUUUAUGGGUUUUUGCAAACUUACAGGGGUCAAAUGUAGGGCUUUCCCCUUUUCCAUUUUUGAACAUUGAAAUUUGCCAGAUUGGUUUGCUGGCCCUAUGUUGUCUUUGACACCAUAUGGCAGCCCAGGAAUGAAAAUUAACCCCAUCAUGGCAUACCAAUUGUAAAAGUAGACAACCCACAGUAUUCAAAAUGGGGUAUGUCCAGUCUUUUUUUAG